AGAGAGAGACAUGCGCGCAUAUCAAUAAGCGGAGGAAAAGAAACUAACAAGGAUUCCCCUAGUAACGGCGAAUGAAGCGGGAAGAGCUCAAAUUUGAAAUCUUAAAGGGUUUCCCUUUACGAAUUGUAGUUUAAAGAAGUGUUUUCUGUUGAGGUUUUGGUAAAAGUUCUUUGGAAUAGGACAUCAUAGAGGGUGAGAAUCCCGUAUUUGACCUUUACUUUCAACUUUGUGAUACACUUUCAAAGAGUCGGAUUGUUUGGGAAUGCAGUCCAAAAUGGGUGGUAAAUUUCAUCUAAAGCUAAAUAUUGGCGAGAGACCGAUAGCGAACAAGUAUCGUGAGGGAAAGAUGAAAAGAACUUUGAAAAGAGAGUUAAACAGUACGUGAAAUUGUCAAAAGGGAAGCGUUUGACACCAGUGUUGUUUUUCUGAAAAUCAAUUAAAGAACUGUUUAUGCUAAGUUGUUUAGACUUUAUCAGCUAACUGUUUAGUUUUGAGCUUUUCUUUAAUGCACUUUUCAGUUAACAAGUCAACAUCAAUUUCUUUUGCUGUAAAAAAGCUUGAGGAAGGUGGCUUGAGAUUCGUCUUAAGUGUUUAUAGCCUCUUGCCUAUGCAGUCGGAGAGAUUGAGGUCUGCAGCGUAGAUCCUUCGGGGCUAAAUGCAUUUGUGCUAAGUUAUAGCAUUUUAUAGACAACUUGUUGACUAUGAUUUGUCUUGUAGCUUACUCGCUUAUGUUAUUUUACCUACGCUUAGGAUGUUGACGCAUGAGAUAUACGC
rnacentral:rRNA from 1 species